GUUAGAGUGGCAGAGCCCGGGUAUUGCGAAAGGCCUAAGCCCUUUUCACAGAGGUUCAAGUCCUCUCACUAACA
rnacentral:tRNA from 1 species